rnacentral:rRNA from 1 species
UGUAAGCGUAUACCAAAGUUGUUGCAGUUAAAACGCUCGUAGUCGGAAUUUGGCAGUUCCGGAUGUGUGCACGUCGUGUGCGCACUUCGCGGGGAUUGCUUUUGUGGUCUUGCGUAGGAUGAGGCACUUUUAUUAGUGAACGUCCUCACGCAACCACUUUUUACUGUGAGAAAAUCAGAGUGCUCAAAGCAGGCAUUUGCCGUGAAUGUAUUAGGAUGGAAUAAUAGAAUAGGACUUGGUUCUAUUUUGUUGGUUUGUUGGGACUGAGUAAUGAUUAAGAGGGACAGUUGGGGGCAUUUGUAUUUCGGUGCUAGAGGUGAAAUUCUUAGAUUACCGAAAGACAAACUGCUGCGAAAGCGUCUGCCAAGGAUGUUUUCAUUGA